rnacentral:rRNA from 1 species
UACGUAGGGACCAAGCGUUGUCCGGAAUUAUUGGGCGUAAAGAGCUCGUAGGCGGUUUGUCGCGUCUGCUGUGAAAUCCCGAGGCUCAACCUCGGGCUUGCAGUGGGUACGGGCAGACUAGAGUGCGGUAGGGGGAGACUGGAAUUCCUGGUGUAGCGGUGGAAUGCGCAGAUAUCAGGAGGAACACCGAUGGCGAAGGCAGGUCUCUGGGCCGCAACUGACGCUG